ensembl:lncRNA
CUGCCGUGGUUUGAGAUGAAACGUCCCAGCUGUCAUCGGCUCUUUGAGGUGGUUUUCAGGAGACACAUGGGGAUCUGCAGCCUCCUGUGAAGAAAGUGUCAUUUCCGUCUCACACGGCUUCACCGCGCUCAAGUAGAGAAGACGGUUCAAUCCAAGGAGGUCUGUGAUACCUGGAAAGAGCUAUCCGUUAGUGUUCCCAUUCAUCUCAAUGGCAGUUCCUCAGUUCCUCAUUUGGUGCAGGACCUCCAAGAAUCUGCAAUCUGCUGCCAGGUUGUUUGAGCCAUAAAUGAGGUAAUUGAGGUUUUAAAAAA